AACGAACGCUGGCGGCAUGCCUAACACAUGCAAGUCGAACGAGACCUUCGGGACUAGUGGCGCACGGGUGCGUCACGCGUGGGAAGCUGCACUUAGGGUCGGCAUACCUCCCCGACAGGGGUGCUAAUACCGGAUAAUGUCUUCUGCCCAAAGAUUUAUCGCCUUUGGAUGGGCCCGCGUUGGAUUAGCUAGUUGGUAGGGUAAAAGCCUACCAAGGCAACGAUCCAUAGCUGGUCUGAGAGGCUGCUCAGCGACACUGGGACUGAGACACGGCCCAGACUCGUACGGGAGGAAGCAGUAGGGAAUCCUCCGCAAUGGGCGAAAGCCUGACGGAGCAAGACCGCGUGAGUGAUGAAGGUCUUCGGAUCGUAAAGCUCUGUUAUUAGGGAAGAACAUAUGUGUAGGUAACUGUGCACAUCUUGACGGUACCUAAUCAGAAAGCCACGGCUAACUACGUG
rnacentral:rRNA from 1 species